GUCGUAACAAGGUUUCCGUAGGUGAACCUGCGGAAGGAUCAUUACCACACCGAUCCAACUGAUCGUACUCUGCGGACUGUAGCUCGUGGGCCGUCUCGCCUGUUGUCGGGCGGAGCGCCGCCCCUUUCUACAAUUCACACCCCUGAUCAAACAUCUGAACCAACCCAUCUGAAACCUGAAGUGGUGUUGAGGUGGCGCCUGCCGCCUCCGCCGCGUUGAUACCAAUGCGACACAACUUUCAGCAACGGAUAUCUUGGCUCACGCAACGAUGAAGAACGCAGCGAAAUGCGAUACGUAAUGCGAAUUGCAGAAUUCAGUGAAUCAUCAAAAUUUUGAACGCACAUUGCGCUUCCGGGAUAUGCCUGGGAGCAUGCUUGUUGGAGUGUCUGUUCACCCCACUCGCCUCCUCGUGCGCUGGUCCGCCGCUUAGCCCCGGCCGACUCAGUGAGGAGCUGCGGACUGUGGGCCGCCUUGCUGCUCCGCGCGGCAAGCCGCCCGAAGUGUAGAGACGACGUCCGGUCUUCUCGAUUGCGUGGGAGCUCGUAUUUCUAUGAGACAAUCGCGAUGGAGGCACGGCUGAUACAUGGCGCGUCGAAAAGAACACCACUAUUCUUCCUUUUGGACCUCCAAUCAAGUAAGAGGACCCGCUGGAUUUAAGCAUAUUACUAAGCGGAGGAAAAGAAACUAACCAGGAUUCCCUCAGUAACGGCGAGUGAAGCGGGAAGAGCUCAUGUUGUAAAUCUGCAGCGCCCCUGGCGCCGCCGAAUUGUAGUCUAUAGAAGUAGUUGCCUGCCGCGGCCCCGAGACAAGUUGUCUUGGAACAGACCUCCAUAGAGGGUGAGAGGCCCGUCUAGGCUUGGGAGCCCGCGUGCGUACGGCCUGCUUUCGACGAGUCGAGUUGCUUGGGAGUGCAGCUCAAAGUGGGUGGUAAAUUCCAUCUAAAGCUAAAUACCGGCGUGAGACCGAUAGCGAACAAGUACUGUGAAGGAAAGAUGCAAAGAACUUUGAAAAGAGAGUUAAAAAGUGCUUGAAAUUGCUGAGAGAGAGCUGAACAGGAUCAGCGUUGAUGCCCGUGUAUACUACCUAUAGAUCGGUUUCGUAUGCGGGCGUAGGAGUGCAUGGAUUCGGAUCGUGGGAUACGCUUGCUGUCUCGAUCCGGAUUGAGGAACACCCCCUGCGGGAGCGAUGCACUCAAAAUGAUCCUAUUCAUCCCGUCUUGAAACACGGACCAAGGAGUCUAACAUAUGUGCGAGUAUUAGGGUGGCAAACCCUUGUGCGCAAUGAAAGUGAAGGCGCUAACCACGCCGAGGUACGAACCUUCGGGGGCAGUAUUGACCGAUCAUUGGACUUGUCCAUAGAUUUGAGUUUGAGCAUACAUGUUGGGACCCGAAAGAUGGUGAACUAUGCGUGAA
rnacentral:rRNA from 1 species